rnacentral:rRNA from 1 species
AGCAGCCGCGGUAAAUUCCAGCUCCAAUAGCGUAUAUUAAAGUUGUUGCAGUUAAAAAGCUCGUAGUUGAAUUUCGGGAUUGACGUGAUGGUCAUGCCUUAAGGGGUAUGAACUGUUACAGUUGAUUUCUCACCUUCUGGAGAAACUUGAUGUCCUUUAUUGGGUGUCUUGCGGAUCCAGGACCUUUACCUUGAAAAAAUUAGAGUGUUUAAAGCAGGCAUUUUUGCUCGAAUACAUUAGCAUGGAAUAAUAGAAUAGGACGGCAUGGUUCUAUUUUGUUGGUUUCUAGGAUCACCGUAAUGAUUAAUAGGGAUAGUUGGGGGCAUUAGUAUUCAAUUGUCAGAGGUGAAAUUCUUGGAUUUAUUGAAGACUAACUACUGCGAAAGCAUUUGCCAAGGAU